CGGAAUGAGCCUGGUGGGGACUCAGAUAAAGCCUCAACGGACCGGUUCAUCGUGGCGAGUAACCGAACCGGACCUUCACAAUUUGCGGCUUUUAAAUGCCGUGAAGUGCCUGGAUCUGUAUCUGUUCCUUCUGGUCUUUGUGGGUCUCUCUCUAUCUUGACGGAAAAAAAGAGGUUAUUUGUUGGAGCAAAACCCUAAACGCCAUUGGAGCUCGCUCCGAGCUCCGUUUCUCCAAGAAGUAUCAGAGCCAGUUUUCUUCGGGGUCGAGGCGGCUGCUGAGAGCAUCGCGAGGGACGGCUUCUCGAGAAAGCUAAGUUCUUUCCUCUUCUUCUUUUCUGGGAGCUAGGGUUUUUCCUUGAAAUAAACGUUAGGGUUGUAUUCCUGUAGGGGGCAUUUCUUUCGAUCUCAAGAAGUUGGUGCCCUGGGAAGAUCUCUUAGGGUUUUAUCGGUCUUGGAAGCGGGUAGUUUGGAAGAGGGAAAAAUUAGGUUCUGUUUGAAAUUUAGUAUCACCUCUGGGCCAAAUCUUUGAACGUUUCCAUGUUUCAUCAAACAAGUUAGAGAUUCUCACUUAGGCUUUUGCGGCGAAUCCGGUUGUAGGAGUGGAAAGAAAGAUCAGGUAUAGUGAUCUACAGUGAGGAACGGGAAUCAAAUUUCUUCGUGCCUAUUAAGACCUGUCUUUUUCCCUUGUCAGGUUUAUUAGUUUUUAUAAAGUUCGUAAUUUCUUGGUUCGACCUGUUGAAGAGUCUAGUGUUCAAGAUGAGCGAACUGAAAGAUCACAAUGAUCCGGUGCAAGAUAUGCCCGAACUUCCUAGCAACGAGCACAUAGGUGCGGAUGUUGAAGACGAGGACCUUCAGUCUCUGCUGCAAAACCCUGUAGAUGAGCAAAACUCUCAGUUUCAAACAGAGGUUAAUUUCAUUAACGACUCUAGGUUCUCAGCAAAUCCUCUGGAACCUGACUCAGCUGAGCAGAACAUCAGAGAGACUGCCAUACCAUCAGAAUUGCAAAAUAGUGCUGAAGUUCCUAUUUCUAGGAAUCAGACAGAUGAUGAUACUGAAAAACCUGGGGAUGAAGUUCCUGUUUCUAUGAAUCAGACAGAGAAUGAUUCUGAAAAACCUAGGGAUGAAGUUCCUGUUUCUAUGAAUCAGACAGAGAAUGAUUCUGAAAAACUUGGGGAUGAAGUUCCUGUUUCUAUGAAUCAUACGGAGAAUGAUUCUGAAAAACCUCGCGAUGAAAUUACCGUUUUUAUGAAUCAGACAGAGAGUGAUUCUGAAAAAACUGGUGGUGAAGUUCCUGCUUUUAGGAACCAGACAGAGAGUGGUUCUGAAAAAACUGGCGACGAACUUCAUGCUUUUAUGAAUCAGACACAGAGUGAUUCUGAAAAAACUGGUGAUGGAGAUCCUGUUUCUCUGAAUCAGAGAGAGAACAAUUCUGAAAAGACCAGUGAUGAAGUUCCAUUCUUUAUGAAUCGGAUGGAGGAUGAUUCUGAACGAAAUGAUGCUCUUGAUGUCAAGAAUGAAAUGGAGAGUGAGAUGGUGAACACAUCAUUAGAGGAUGGCAGUAACUCAUUGGAAUCAGAUGUGAAGGCAGCUCAUUCAGAAGAUAAUUACAGCACGGAGACCCCCUUGAAACAGGAAAGGGCUGAGGGAGAACAACCAGCUCCCAUCGAGAGUUCUAAUCAGUCUUUUACAUUUGACUAUUUCUUGGAUGGUGAUGAUUCUGGGAGCGAGGAAGAACAAGCUGCUUUCAUGAAGGAGCUGGAGAAUUUCUUUAGGGAGAGGAGCAUGGAGUUCAAGCCACCUAAGUUUUAUGGGGAAGGGCUGAAUUGUCUCAAGUUGUGGAGAGCAGUAACAAAAUUAGGUGGUUAUGACAGGGUGACAUCAUGCAAAUUAUGGCGUCAAGUGGGAGAGUCCUUCAAACCUCCAAAGACCUGUACAACAGUCUCUUGGUCAUUUCGAGGUUUCUAUGAGAAGGCUCUACUUGAGUAUGAAAAACAUAAAAUUCGUACUGGCGAGCUCCAAAUACCUAUAUCUGAUCUUCCUGAGGCUAUGGUUAUUGAUAACCAGGGGGGUGGAAAUCAGGCAUCGGGCUCAGGUAGGGCCAGAAGGGAUGCUGCAGCUCGUGCUAUGCAGGGCUGGCACUCUCAGCGACUGCUUGGUCAUGGUGAGGUGGGGGACCCAAUAAUUAAGGAUAAGAGUUCAAUUUCUCUUCUGAAGCGGGAUAAACAUCUUAAAAGCAACGGGGCACACAAGAGGAAAAAACCAUCAAACCUGGAGCCUGAAGCUAAAGUUGGACGUACAAAAGAUAUUCAGACACAAGGGGAUACAACAGUCGUUGAUGUUGGGGCUCCUGCUGAUUGGGUGAAAAUAAAUGUGCGGCAAACGAAAGAUUGCUUUGAAGUCUAUGCUUUAGUUCCUGGGCUUCUGCGUGAAGAGGUACAAGUUCAAUCAGAUCCUGCUGGCCGUUUAAUCAUAUCCGGAGAACCAGAGCAGCCUGAUAAUCCUUGGGGUGUCACGCCCUUUAAAAAGGUCAUUACUUUGCCUUCUCGAAUUGAUCCACAUCAGACUUCAGCAGUGGUCACCCUUCAUGGCCAGCUGUUUGUACGUGCACCAUUUGCUCAGUCAGAUCGAUAGCACUCUUGGUCUUGCUUUGAAAGUCCACUGUCUAAUAUAAUGAAGAAAUAGAAAGAAACAUAUGAGGAUGUUCUGCAGGCCUUUGAACUUGUCGUGUUGCUGAGAUGAUUUUUAUAGUUUUUGAGUUCAUGCACAAAUUUGAACGUACUAAUUUGUUUGAUCCAACAGUGUGGUGGAUUCUCGCUCAUGAACCUUAUCUUUGAGCUGAAACUUGCUAGUGCAACUAUGUUAGGGUGAAAAAAUAUUAGGGUGAAAAAAUAUGUAUGUACCUGCCUUUGACCUGAGAGAGCCUUCAUGUAGUCAUCUACUGAAAAAUGUAGCCAGAUUCUAGUUGGUUGUCAUUUGGUUAUUGCAUGUUGCUGCUACAUUGGGUGAGCAUUCAAAUGAAACAGUUCCUGAUCAUAACCUGAUUUUCUGUU